rnacentral:misc_RNA from 1 species
CACUAGGUGCUCGACACUAUGGCGGCAGUCUGUUUCCUGCCUGUUUCUUGUUUCGCCCCGUCAGAUUAAAUGAAUGUAACCGUUUCGAUAGCUCGGUUAGAACAAUGUGUCAUAUACCCCUAAGUGAAGACAUCAAAACUUUUUACUUAUGAAUGUGCUGAUCCCCAUGAAAGUACCAUAAAGUGAAGAGGAUAACAGGUGUUUACAGCCGGUGGCCGUCCAACAACGAACUUGUACUUAUUGAACUCCGUGUGCACCACUGUAUAUUUUUGUUGCCUUUGAGGUGUGUCUGAAACGGUUUUAUCUUCCUUUAAAGGUAUAAGUGUGAAAUUGAACUACUCUUAGUGAAUGCCUUCAAACAACGAAAUGAACAAGAAACUAGAAGUAAAACUUCAUGCAAUGCCCUGGUUCCAUGGGAAAAUUUCAAGGGAACAAGCAGAAAACCUGCUACAACCAAGAGAAGAUGGUCUUUUCUUGGUUCGUGAGUCUACCAAUUAUCCUGGAGACUACACUCUCUGUGUCAGUUAUCAAGGGGAGGUUCAACAUUACAGAGUCAUAUACAAAGAUAACAAACUGACCAUUGAUGAAGAGGAGUUCUUUUCUACCUUGGCAGAGCUUGUUGAACAUUAUGAAAAGGAUGCAGAUGGACUUUGUACCCGUCUUGAGAGGAGUGUUGCUAAACAGGGCAAAACGGACUUCUGUGUUGAUCGAAAGGACUUUGAGGAAGCAGGCUGGAUCAUUCAAGAAAAAGAUCUCCAACUUAAGGAGUCAAUAGGGAAAGGAGAAUUUGGUGAUGUGAUGCUAGGUUCUUUUAAAGGAGAAAAAGUAGCUGUUAAAAUAUUGAAAGAUUCAAGCAAAGCAGCACAAAAAUUUCUUGCUGAAGCAUCAGUAAUGACAUCUUUACGUCACCCGAAUCUAGUUCAACUACUUGGCUUGGUGUUCAACGAUCAGCAUCAGCACCUCUACCUGGUCACAGAAUUUAUGAGUAAAGGAAGUUUAGUAGAUUACCUUCGCUCAAGAGGCCGGUUACAUGUCACCAAACGAGAUCAAAUCAAAUUUGCCUAUGAUACCUGUUCAGGAAUGGAAUAUCUUGAAUCGAAAAAAGUUGUUCAUCGAGACUUGGCGGCCCGAAACGUCUUGGUCGCUGAGACCGGAGAUGCUAAAGUUUGUGAUUUUGGAUUGGCUCGCGAAGAAAUAUACAAUCAAGAGGGAGGCAAGUUCCCCAUCAAAUGGACAGCACCAGAGGCAUUGAGACAUAGUAAAUUUUCCAACAAGUCGGAUAUGUGGAGUUUUGGGAUUCUCCUGUGGGAAAUCUACUCUUUCGGACGAGUCCCUUACCCGCGUAUUCCUCUUGCAGACGUUGUGAAGCACGUGGAAAAGGGCUACCGAAUGGAAAAACCUGAGGGUUGUCCGCAAGAGAUUCAUGACUUGAUGAGACAAGCCUGGGACCUAAACGCUGAUCGGCGACCCACUUUCAACCAAGUCAAGCAACAGCUGGCUCAACUCAAAGACACUCCUAAUUUCGUCUGAACCAAAUGCACUUAACCCACUGAUUCAUUUAAUACCCCACCUUUCAUUUCCUUUCCAGUCUGUCGACGGGGUUCCGUGACCAAUGAAAUCAAACAAACGUCAAUGGGGCAUCGAGCCGAUCCUCUCUUGAACUUGGAGAACCCACCAGGAAAAGAGGUAAAAUUAAACUAAGGUUUGCGCUUCAGAUCAAGAAAUGACAAACGUGCCAACCAUCAUCAGUUCGAAUCCAUCGUUAUCUAAAAAAAAAAAAGCCUAUCUAUAAUUUAAAAAAUUCAACAUCGAAAUCACCAUCCAAAGAAAAUUAAGCCACAGUGCAAAUCAAGCCAAGACGUUGCGACGUCCUCGGAGCUUCCUUUUGCCCCAUCUUCCUUGAUCAUUCUUUAGGCUUCGUUUUAACACAUUUUUUUUUUCAAUCGUCCUGAAUAUCCGAUCAAUCUGCCCUAUUAAUUUUUUGUUUACGAUAAUGUUACGAUUAUUGCCUGCCUUGACCGUGUUAACUGUACAUAAUCUGGUUGUGCUUACCUCUGCUGUUUGAUUCUUUUUGAAAAUUAAAUUAAUACGUGUAAUACAUUUAUAUACGCCUUUA